rnacentral:rRNA from 1 species
UACGUAGGGUGCAAGCGUUUGUCCGGAAUCAUUGGGCGUAAAGCGCGCGUAGGUGGCCAUUUAAGUCCGCUGUGAAAGUCAAAGGCUCAACCUUUGAAAGCCGGUGGAUACUGGAUGGCUAGAGUACGGAAGAGGCGAGUGGAAUUCCUGGUGUAGCGGUGGAAUGCGCAGAUAUCAGGAGGAACACCAAUAGCGAAGGCAGCUCGCUGGGACGUUACUGACACUGAGGCGCGAAAGCGUGGGGAGCGAACAGG